rnacentral:rRNA from 1 species
UGGGGAAUUGUUCGCAAUGGGCGCAAGCCUGACGACGCAACGCCGCGUGGGGGAAGAAGACCUUCGGGUUGUAAACCCCUUUUGUUCGGAAAGAAAUGCGAUCAGGUUAAUAAUCUGGUCGUUUGACGGUACCGGACGAAUAAGCUCCGGCUAACUCCGUGCCAGCAGCCGCGGUAACACGGGGGGAGCAAGCGUUGUUCGGAAUCACUGGGCGUAAAGGGCUCGUAGGCGGCCAACUAAGUCAGACGUGAAAUCCCUCGGCUUAACCGGGGAACUGCGUCUGAUACUGGAUGGCUUGAAUCCGGGAGAGGGAUGUGGAAUUCCAGGUGUAGCGGUGAAAUGCGUAGAUAUCUGGAGGAACACCGGUGGCGAAGGCGGCAUCCUGGACCGGUAUUGACGCUGAGUGAGCGAAAGCCAGGGGAGCAAACGGGAUUAGAUACCCUCGUAGUCCCUGAGCGGGCUGGCAAGGCGCAU